AUGGCGGACCCGGCGGCGGACGGUAAGGCGGAGAAGAUGGCGAACGGGUCGGCGGGGUGCGAUGCGGCGGCGGCGGGGCAGGGCAAGAAGCGGGCGGACCAGGCGGUGGCGUUCCACGAGCUCUUCUCCUUCGCCGACCGGUGGGACCUGGCGCUCAUGGCGCUCGGCACCCUCGGCGCGCUGGCGCACGGCGCCGCCAUGCCCUUCUUCUUCCUGCUCUUCGGGGACCUCAUCAACGGCUUCGGCAAGAACCAGACCGACCUCCGCGCCAUGACCGACGAGGUCGCCAAGUACGCGCUCUACUUCGUCUACCUCGGACUGGUGGUCUGCGUCGCCUCCUACGCAGAGAUCGCGUGCUGGAUGUACACCGGGGAGCGGCAGGUGAUCGCGCUCCGGAAGGCGUACCUGGACGCCGUGCUCCGGCAGGACGUGGGGUUCUUCGACACGGACGCGCGCACGGGGGACAUCGUCUUCGGCGUCUCCACCGACACGCUGCUCGUGCAGGACGCCAUCGGCGAGAAGGUGGGCAACUUCAUGCACUACCUGGCCACCUUCUUCGCGGGCCUCGUCGUCGGCUUCGUCUCCGCGUGGCGGCUCGCGCUGCUCAGCGUCGCCGUCAUCCCGGCCAUCGCCUUCGCCGGCGGCCUCUACGCCUACACGCUCACCGGGCUCACCUCCAAGAGCCGCGAGUCCUACGCCAAUGCCGGCGUCGUCGCAGAGCAGGCAAUUGCGCAAGUUAGAACAGUCUACUCAUUUGUUGGAGAGAGCAAAGCUCUGAAUUCGUACUCUGAAGCAAUCCAGAAUACACUGAAGCUUGGUUACAAAGCCGGGAUGGCAAAGGGUCUUGGUAUUGGGUGCACUUACGGGAUAGCGUGCAUGUCAUGGGCGCUAGUAUUCUGGUAUGCUGGUGUCUUCAUCAGGAAUGGGCAGAGCGACGGUGGCAAGGCCUUUACUGCAAUCUUUUCUGCAAUCGUUGGUGGCAUGAGUCUUGGCCAGGCAUUCUCCAACCUUGGAGCGUUCAGCAAAGGGAAGAUUGCGGGAUACAAACUGUUGGAGGUCAUUCGCCAGAAACCCUCCAUAGUUCAUGAUCAUAAGGAUGGCAAGUUGUUGGCGGAGGUCCACGGAAAUAUUGAGUUCAAGGAUGUUACUUUCAGUUAUCCAUCAAGGCCUGAUGCCAUGAUCUUUCGGGAUUUCUCUCUGUUCUUUCCUGCUGGGAAAACUGUUGCAGUUGUUGGAGGCAGUGGGUCUGGAAAGAGCACUGUCGUGGCUUUGAUAGAAAGGUUCUAUGAUCCUAAUGAAGGCCAGGUUUUGCUGGACAAUGUUGAUAUCAAGACACUUCAAUUGAGGUGGCUGAGGGAUCAAAUUGGACUAGUAAACCAAGAACCUGCCCUUUUUGCAACUACUAUCAUUGAGAAUGUACUUUAUGGAAAACCUGAUGCCACAAUGGCAGAAGUUGAGGCUGCAGCAACUGCAUCCAAUGCUCAUAGUUUCAUCUCUCUCCUGCCCAAUGGAUACAACACAAUGGUUGGGGAGCGAGGAAUUCAGCUAUCUGGUGGUCAGAAACAGCGUAUUGCGAUUGCUCGUGCUAUGCUGAAGGACCCCAAGAUACUGCUCCUUGAUGAAGCUACCAGUGCUUUAGACGCAGACUCAGAGAACAUUGUGCAAGAAGCUCUAGACCGCCUGAUGGUUGGGAGGACUACCGUAAUUGUUGCGCACCGUCUGUGCACCAUCAGAAAUGUAAACAUGAUCGCGGUGUUACAACAAGGCCAAGUUAUUGAGACUGGGACACAUGAUGAACUUUUAGCAAAGGGAACCUCCGGAGCAUAUGCCUCCCUGAUCCGUUUUCAGGAAACGGCACGUAACAGAGAUCUUGGUGCUGCCUCUACCCGUAGGUCGCGCUCGAUGCACUUGACUAGCUCUCUGUCCACCAAAUCUCUGAGCCUCAGGUCGGGAAGUUUACGGAACCUGAGCUAUCAGUACAGCACUGGAGCAGAUGGGCGCAUCGAGAUGAUCUCAAGCGCAGAUAAUAGCCUCAAAUACCCAGCACCACGUGGUUACUUUUUCAAGCUCCUAAAACUGAAUGGUCCUGAAUGGCCGUAUGCGGUGUUGGGUGCUAUUGGUUCUGUUCUAUCUGGAUUCAUUGGUCCAACAUUCGCCAUUGUUAUGGGUGAAAUGCUUGAUGUGUUCUACUACCAGGACCCCGUUGAAAUGGAGAAGAAGACAAAACUUUAUGUGUUCAUCUAUAUUGGCACAGGCAUAUACGCCGUAGUUGCUUAUCUUGUGCAGCAUUACUUCUUCAGCAUAAUGGGAGAAAAUCUUACAACCAGAGUUAGGAGGAUGAUGCUGUCUGCGAUACUUAGGAACGAAGUUGGUUGGUUUGAUGAAGAAGAAAACAACUCUAGUCUCGUGGCUGCUCGUGUAGCAGUUGAUGCGGCUGAUGUGAAGUCGGCGAUAGCUGAGAGGAUAUCAGUUAUACUGCAGAACAUAACAUCCCUGAUGACAUCUUUCAUCGUCGGUUUUAUCAUUGAGUGGAGAGUGGCGAUCCUUAUUCUGGCCACUUUCCCUCUUCUUGUGCUUGCCAACUUUGCUCAGCAACUUUCGAUGAAGGGCUUUGCUGGUGACACAGCAAAAGCACACGCCAAGAGCAGCAUGGUUGCCGGUGAAGGCGUGAGCAACAUCCGCACCGUGGCGGCCUUCAACGCUCAGAACAAGGUCAUGUCUCUCUUCAGCCAUGAGCUGCGCAUACCAGAGGAGCAGAUCCUGCGCCGCAGCCAGACCGCGGGCCUUCUGUACGGCCUCUCGCAGCUCUGCCUCUACUGCUCGGAAGCGCUCAUUCUCUGGUACGGUUCUCAUCUGGUGCGGUCACAUGGGUCGACCUUCUCCAAGGUCAUCAAGGUCUUCGUCGUCCUUGUCGUGACCGCCAACUCCGUCGCCGAGACGGUCAGCCUUGCACCAGAGAUCGUCCGUGGUGGCGAAUCUAUCCGCUCCAUCUUCGGCAUCCUCAACAGGGCGACGAGGAUCGAGCCCGAUGACCCGGAGGCAGAGCGGGUCACCACUGUUCGCGGCGACAUUGAGCUGCGGCAUGUCGACUUCUCGUAUCCGUCUCGCCCUGACAUUGAGAUAUUCAAGGAUUUCAACCUGAAGAUCCAGGCCGGGCGCAGCCAGGCUCUGGUGGGAGCUAGUGGUUCUGGUAAGAGCACCGUCAUUGCGCUCAUCGAGCGGUUCUACGACCCGACAGGGGGCAAGGUGAUGAUCGACGGCAAGGACAUCCGGAGGCUGAACCUCAAGUCCCUGCGGCGCAGGAUCGCGCUGGUGCAGCAGGAGCCGGCGCUCUUCGCCUCCAGCAUCCUGGAGAACAUCGCGUACGGCAAGGAAGGCGCGACGGAGGAGGAGGUGGUCGAGGCGGCCAAGACGGCCAACGUGCACGCGUUCGUGAGCCAGCUCCCCGACGGGUACCGGACGGCGGUGGGCGAGAGGGGCGUGCAGCUGUCGGGCGGGCAGAAGCAGCGCAUCGCCAUCGCCAGGGCGGUGCUCAAGGACCCGGCCAUCCUGCUGCUGGACGAGGCGACGAGCGCGCUGGACGCCGAGUCGGAGAGCGUGCUGCAGGAGGCGUUGGAGCGGCUGAUGAAGGGGCGGACGACGGUGCUGGUGGCGCACCGGCUGUCGACGAUCCGCGGCGUGGACCGCAUCGCCGUGGUGCAGGACGGGCGCAUCAUCGAGCAUGGCGGGCACUCGGAGCUCGUGGCGCGGCCCGAGGGGGCCUACUCGCGGCUGCUGCAGCUGCAGAACCACCGCAACUGA
rnacentral:rRNA from 1 species